AGCUAGGAAGUCUCCCUCUUUUCUUUUCUUUUCUUUUUUAUUUUCCCCCAACUUUAUCCUUGUGCUAGAUCCAAACUAUGGUUUUGGAUUGUUCCAUAUGGCCUCAACUUUUAGGGUUUCUUGAUCUAACCCCCAAAACUCAAUCCAUCAUUCUCAGAGGCACGUUUAAGGGGUGGACUCCUCUGUCAAAGAUUUUUCUAGGCCAUACAGAAAAGAAAUGCCCGGGGACCCCAUAGGCUUUUCACGAGGUACUGAAUAAAGCCUUCGACAAUUAUGCCUGAAUUAGCUUCUUCGCAAUUUCAGUUGUGGAAGAAAUUCAAAAUCUUGGCAGUAGUCAUAUGUUGGGGUCUAAUAGUUUUCCUCUUCCUUUUUGCCAUGACAAGUAAAUUUUCCAGAGUAAAAACCACAUACUAUUCGACAAGGAUUCAAGAACAGAAACACUGGAAACAAGAAUGGGAGAGGCCAGAGCCCACAAGUCCGAUCAGCUGUGACAGGACUCAUUAUGAUUACGAGAUAUGCUAUCUCAACCGUCCAACCACCUUAGAUCCAACGACCGCGACGUUCUUUACAGCAGAUCCAACCAACUCAACCCGUCGAUUGAUCGAGAAAAUC